rnacentral:pre_miRNA from 1 species
CAACUACUCCCUCUGUCCCAAAUUUCUUGUCUUAGAUUUGUCUAGAUACGGAUGUAUCUAAUACUAAAAUGUGACUUGAUACAUCCGUAUCUAAAAAAAAUCUAAGACAAGAAUUUUGGGACGGAGGGAGUACUUU